rnacentral:misc_RNA from 1 species
GUUUCUGGGUUCUAAACUAUCACAAGCAAUAUAAUGUUUACAAGAGUACAAUUGUCGGUACUAUACACUUUUUAAGUAAUGUCAAUGAAGAAGAGUGACACUUCUCUUUUAUUCUCUUGACAACCUUCCAACAAUAUCUAAAAUAUGUAUGAACUGUUUUCCUUCCAAAUCUUUCCUUUAACUGCUUCUUCAAGCCUUAUUUGGUUAUGAUAUAUGCACAAUUUACAGAGUUAUUGAAUUCAAAGGCCGUUUUUAACGUGACCUCCAAUCUUGUAUGGCAAGGUGUAAUGUGAGGUUUGGGGUAAGCAUCUUGUGCUGCAAUAUCUGUUUCGUAACAGGUGAAAUGUUAUGUCUGUCAACCCAUGCCUUUAUUGCUCUGUGCUCAUAUGUAAAGCCAUCGGCUGCUAUAUGUGGCUCUUCCAUUACUUCCUGAAGAAUUGGACAGAAGUACUGGCUAGGUGCCCUAAGGUUUCCCAGCACCCUGACAUGCAUCUUUGCGAAUUCGGAAAGUUUUUCCAGAAGUGGAAGAACUUCAGUCACAAGAUCUGGUCUAUCUCUGCAUCUAAGCUUACAGCAUUUUAGAGCCAUCUUAGAUAGCUCCUCUGUUUCAAUCAAUGGCCAGUCUACAAAUGACUUAUCAAGUACAUUUGCGAGCGAAUUAGUGUCUAUAGCUUCUUCAAAUUUCAUAAUAAGGCCAUUAGGAUGACAAGCCGCCAAUAGUUGAAGUGUUAUUAUUCCAAAAGCAUACAGAUCAGACUUAGGUCUCAGAGUUCCAGUUCUUAGAUACUCUGGAUCCAUGUAAGCAAAGGUGCCAGCAAGAACGGAGUUCCUAUAUUCUGUAACACUUUCUGGAACAAUAUCGGACAUAAUUUUUGCUAAACCCACAUCUCCGAUUUUACUCACGUAAUUUUUGUCCAACAAUAUGUUUCCUGGCUUUAGAUCUCGAUGAACGAUAGGAUCAGGCUUUGAGUUGUGCAAGAAUGCAAGAGCAGAUGCCACUUCAAAAAGUAUCUGGAAUCGAACAAACCAGGGAAGAGGUCUGUUUUUUCCUUGGAAAAUGUGAUCUUCCAGGCUUCCAUUUUCCAUAUACUCAUAAACAAGGCAGCCAUUUCCUGGAGAGGCUCCGAGCAGUAAAACAAUGUGUGGGUGAUGCAACUGGCUUAGAACCUCAACCUCUUUUAGAAACUCCUCUUUCUUUAAUGAUGCAUUCGGAUGAAGAGCUUUGAUCGCAACAGGGGUAUGAUCAAGGUUGCCUUUGUAAACUAUUCCGUAUCCUCCUUCACCAAUUAUCUUAGACUCAGAAAAAGAAUCAGUAGCCACCUGAAUUUCUUCUCUAGUCAAUCUCCUAUACCUUCCAUCACAUGACAGUAGUGUAUCGACAACUUUUUGUUUUUCUAAGGACUGUUGGAGAGCCUUCGACUCUGCUAUCUGCCUCUCACAAGCUUCUUCAGCGAGCAACUUUCUCGCUAUCUCAACCUCUUUCUCAGUUUCUACAUGUUUCUUCUUCAGUUCAGCAACUAUUUUCCUUAGGCUUUCUUCUCUUUCCUUGGCUGCAUUCACUCUUCUUGAUUCUUCACAGAAUUUUGAGGAAAGUAAUUGGACCUUGUUUUGGGCAUGGAUCAGAUGUUCACAUGUUUGGUUGUACAAUGUUAUGGUGUUUUGCAACUCUAGCUGCAAUCUUCCCAUUUCAACCUGAAUGUCUGAAUGUUCUGAGUAAGUGGAAGAAUGGCUACUCUUGACUGCCUCCAGAACAGCUGCCGAUUCUUCUAGAUUGUGAAUGUAUCUUUGCUGAGGACUGAUAUGAUUAGAAGUAUUCACAUGUAAAAAUGCUGGAGGAUUGAGAUGUGUAAAGUCUGCAAGUGAUGAUGCUCUGCUAUGAAAAUCCAUCGAGGCACAAGACGCAAUGGAUUCUUGUUGAUUGAUAGUAUUAAGUUCAGUCUCUGUUUCAGAAUAGAAAUACUUGUUCGAAGUUAGAAACUACUAUACUAGGAAAGGAAGAAAGAGAUGACCAAGGAGAUCAAGGUAAAUGACUGAGCUUUUCUAUGUACCAGUAGAUAACAAGGGAUUCAAGGAAUUUUUAACAAGUCCAUUCGAUGACACCACAUAAACAUCAAAAGACUCAGGAACAUGCUUGAGGAUAGCUGAUGGUACAUCUCCAUCCUUCUGCUUCCUGCCAAAGUAACUGGGAGAGAAAGAGCCCAACACUAGACUAUUAAUCCCAGCCUGAGCUACAUAUUUUAGAAGCACUGUUGCAGGAUUAUCCCCUUCCAGCACCACAGUUUCAACACUUUUU